rnacentral:misc_RNA from 1 species
GAAAUGCGAUAAGUAGUGUGAAUUGCAGAAUUCAGUGAAUCAUCGAAUCUUUGAACGCACAUUGCGCCCCUUGGUAUUCCAUGGGGCAUACCUGUUCGAGCGUCAUCUACACCCUCAAGCUCUGCUUGGUGUUGGGCGUCUUUGUCCCGCCUCCGCGCGCGGACUCGCCCCAAAUUCAUUGGCAGCGGUCCUUGCCUCCUCUCGCGCAGCACAUUGCGCUUCUCGAGGUGUUGCGGCCCGCGUCCAGAAAGCAAUCGUUACCGUCUUUGACCUCGGAUCAGGUAGGGAUACCCGCUGAACUUAAGC